AAAAUCAGGGCUAUAAAAACUCUCUCUUUAGGCCUAAUUUUCCAAGUUCACUAUCUUUUUUUCAUCAGGUUUGCUCUCAAGAUUCUCGAUCUCACCCUCCUCUCCCCUCCUCUCCUCUCUUCUCUGGCAGCGAUGGAACGGCUCUCCUCUUUGGCGGCGAUCCAAGCCGGAUGCGAGAGCUAUAAGCCUAAAUCCAUGCAAUGGAACGCCUCUCCUCUUUGGCGGCGAUCCAAGCCGGAUGCGAGAUCUAUAAGCCUGAAUCCAUGGUGAGCCAAGAGACGCACAAACCCAGCCCCAGUGAAGUAUAUGAGGAACAGUCAAAGUUUUGAGAAGUCAGCCCACAUGUCUCACGCAUGAGACUAGUUUUCGCCCUUUUGUUCCUUUGUUAAAUUUUUGCUAUGUUGGUGAAAACUUUGGAUCACCUUUGUAUAUAUAUGCUUUUGGUUUGGCUGACUAUGACUUGAAUGAUCUUGUUGUAUAAAGCUUAUAUGUUAACUUCCUUUGAUGUAGGUUAUUAACGAAUAUAUAUGAAAUGUUAUGACGUGUCAUGUAAGCACAGCUCUAUGGACAAAAGUUUUAAGUUUGCUU